rnacentral:rRNA from 1 species
GAUGAACGCUGGCGGCGUGCCUAAUACAUGCAAGUCGAGCGAACAGACGAGGAGCUUGCUCCUCUGACGUUAGCGGCGGACGGGUGAGUAACACGUGGAUAACCUACCUAUAAGACUGGGAUAACUUCGGGAAACCGGAGCUAAUACCGGAUAAUAUAUUGAACCGCAUGGUUCAAUAGUGAAAGACGGUUUUGCUGUCACUUAUAGAUGGAUCCGCGCCGCAUUAGCUAGUUGGUAAGGUAACGGCUUACCACGGCAACGAUGCGUAGCAGACCUGAGAGGGGGAUCGGCGACGCUGGAACUGGGACACGGUCCAGACUCCUACGGGAGGCAGCAGUAGCGAAUCUUCCGCAAUGGGCGAAGGCCUGACGGAGCAGCGCCGCGUGAGUGAUGAAGGUCUUCGGAUCGUAAAACUCUGUUAUUAGGGAAGAACAAAUGUGUAAGUAACUAUGCACGUCUAGACGGUACCUAAUCAGAAAGGCACGGCUAACUACGUG